rnacentral:rRNA from 2 species
UACGUAGGUGGCGAGCGUUGUCCGGAAUUACUGGGCGUAAAGGGCGCGUAGGCGGCCUGUCAAGUCAGAUGUGAAAUCCCCGGGCUUAACCCGGGAACUGCAUUUGAAACUGGCGGGCUUGAGGGCAGGAGAGGAAAGCGGAACUCCCAGUGUAGCGGUGAAAUGCGUAGAUAUUGGGAGGAACACCAGUGGCGAAGGCGGCUUUCUGGACUGUCACUGACGCUGAGGCGCGAAAGCCAGGGGAGCGAACGGGAUUAGAUACCCCGGUAGUCCUGGCUGUAAACGAUGGGUACUAGGUGUUGGGGGUAUCGACCCCUCCAGUGCCGCAGUUAACGCAAUAAGUACCCCGCCUGGGGAGUACGGCCGCAAGGUUGAA